rnacentral:rRNA from 1 species
AGAGUUUGAUCAUGGCUCAGAUUGAACGCUGGCGGCAGGCCUAACACAUGCAAGUCGAACGGUAACAGGAAGCAGCUUGCUGCUUUGCUGACGAGUGGCGGACGGGUGAGUAAUGUCUGGGAAACUGCCUGAUGGAGGGGGAUAACUACUGGAAACGGUGGCUAAUACCGCAUAACGUCGCAAGACCAAAGAGGGGGACCUUCGGGCCUCUUGCCAUCAGAUGUGCCCAGAUGGGAUUAGCUUGUUGGUGAGGUAACGGCUCACCAAGGCGACGAUCCCUAGCUGGUCUGAGAGGAUGACCAGCCACACUGGAACUGAGACACGGUCCAGACUCCUACGGGAGGCAGCAGUGGGGAAUAUUGCACAAUGGGCGCAAGCCUGAUGCAGCCAUGCCGCGUGUAUGAAGAAGGCCUUCGGGUUGUAAAGUACUUUCAGCGGGGAGGAAGGUGUUGUGGUUAAUAACCGCAGCAAUUGACGUUACCCGCAGAAGAAGCACCGGCUAACUCCGUGCCAGCAGCCGCGGUAAUACGGAGGGUGCAAGCGUUAAUCGGAAUUACUGGGCGUAAAGCGCACGCAGGCGGUCUGUCAAGUUGGAUGUGAAAUCCCCGGGCUCAACCUGGGAACUGCAUUCGAAACUGGCAGGCUUGAGUCUUGUAGAGGGGGGUAGAAUUCCAGGUGUAGCGGUGAAAUGCGUAGAGAUCUGGAGGAAUACCGGUGGCGAAGGCGGCCCCCUGGACAAAGACUGACGCUCAGGUGCGAAAGCGUGGGGAGCAAACAGGAUUAGAUACCCUGGUAGUCCACGCCGUAAACGAUGUCUACUUGGAGGUUGUGCCCUUGAGGCGUGGCUUCCGGAGCUAACGCGUUAAGUAGACCGCCUGGGGAGUACGGCCGCAAGGUUAAAACUCAAAUGAAUUGACGGGGGCCCGCACAAGCGGUGGAGCAUGUGGUUUAAUUCGAUGCAACGCGAAGAACCUUACCUGGUCUUGACAUCCACAGAAGAAUCCAGAGAUGGAUUUGUGCCUUCGGGAACUGUGAGACAGGUGUUGCAUGGCUGUCGUCAGCUCGUGUUGUGAAAUGUUGGGUUAAGUCCCGCAACGAGCGCAACCCUUAUCCUUUGUUGCCAGCGAUUAGGUCGGGAACUCAAAGGAGACUGCCAGUGAUAAACUGGAGGAAGGUGGGGAUGACGUCAAGUCAUCAUGGCCCUUACGACCAGGGCUACACACGUGCUACAAUGGCGCAUACAAAGAGAAGCGACCUCGCGAGAGCAAGCGGACCUCAUAAAGUGCGUCGUAGUCCGGAUUGGAGUCUGCAACUCGACUCCAUGAAGUCGGAAUCGCUAGUAAUCGUGGAUCAGAAUGCCACGGUGAAUACGUUCCCGGGCCUUGUACACACCGCCCGUCACACCAUGGGAGUGGGUUGCAAAAGAAGUAGGUAGCUUAACCUUCGGGAGGGCGCUUACCACUUUGUGAUUCAUGACUGGGGUGAAGUCGUAACAAGGUAACCGUAGGGGAACCUGCGGUUGGAUCACCU